rnacentral:lncRNA from 1 species
UUGGUGAGCAUCUUCUCCAGGGUCGGGGGCAUCAUCACACCCCUUGUGAUGCUGCUGGAACAGUACCACAAGGCGAUUCCCAUGCUGAUCUUUGGCAGCCUCCCCAUUGGGGCAGGCCUACUGUGUGCUCUGCUGCCUGAGACAAGAGGCCAGACCCUGAAGGACACCCUCCAGGACCUGGAGCAGGGGGGCCCCCCACGGUCCUCAGUGACACAGUCCCUUGAAAAAGAAAUGGAGGCCAACGGAAGAAGCUUUAUCCCAGGAGUUAGCAUUGAGAAUCCAGAACUCUUCAGGCUGUGAUACGGCCAUUGCUUAUGUAUUCAGAUCUACAGCGUGAGAGAGCAGAAAGAUAAGAAACAAGUGAACCUUGUUGGGAAUGCAGUAUGAGCAAUUUGAAGUUUCAAAUAAAGAAAGUGCAGAGCAAGCACCAUAAUUGUUAGAUGAAUUAGCACCAUCGAAAAGAAACCCCCUCUCUUCACUUAAAGAUAAGCCCCCCGUAUGAAAGACUAGAAUUUGUAAAAAUAGAAGUUCAUUCACAGGAAGAGCCUGGACUGAGAAUGCUACUCAAAGAGUUCCCUCAUUCAAAAACUAAAGACAUGUUUCUCCCAGAGGUCACUGCAGACUGAAGCUGUCAUCCAGGCAACAUCUCAAGCUGCCAGCAAGACUUCACAGCAUCAUAUGCAUCAGUGGUCCUCAACCUUCCUAAUGCUGUGACCCUUAAUACAGUUCCUCAUGCUGUGUGACCCCAACUGGAA